AGAAGAUGGAGGCCGGUACCUGCAGGAGAAGAUGCCUGGGGACCUGGGAUCUUCGCUGGAGCCUGCAGGAUCCUGAUCAGAGCAGCGGAGUCUUGCACUACUUGGACAGAGAAGUCGUUCAUUUGGAAUAUUAUGAACAGAGAAAGACGUUUUGAGUUGCGGAGAAGAGAGCGUUGGAGCUGAAGGACCACAGCAAGAGAACCGUAGGCCCAAUCAGAGAGCAGCACUGCCCACAUAGAACUCCCAGGAGGAGCAGCGUGUCACACAUGUGAUGUCAUAACCACUGUCCACCAGAGAGCAGCACUGAGCAGAAAUAACACGGCUCCUGCUCAUUGUUCAUCAGUGAGGGGCCCAUGCUGGACACUGUAGGGACCCGGGAAUGCAGAUUCAUACACAGGUUUGGUUAGUGUCGUUCCAUGUACAUUUCUAUAAUAAACAUGUAAAUUAUCUUUCUUUUCUUUUGUUUUUCUCUCUUAGAUGCAGUAUUUCCAGGAGGUGGAGUCUCAUUUCCGGACCUACAGCAAGAAGUUGGAUGAAGACAUAACCCCUGGAAUCACGCACAUACACAGACACUUUGCCCAAAUUCUAGAGGUAACCUCCUUUAGUAUGCCCAGAGGAAGGGUAGUACAGUAGCCAUGGAUUCCCUACAGGUUUCCUCCCCUCUGGAGGUUUUUCCUGUCCUGAGGUGUUACUGUCCGCUCUUUGUGAGUGAUGGGAGGUUACAUAAAAUCCCUACACAAACAUUAUAAUAAUAAUAAAUAAAGUUUCCCAU